CUCAGGUAUCUAGUAAUUCAAAAGCAAACUAUAUAUUUGUGAGGUAUCCAGGCAAACUGGUAGCUCAUCAGAGGCAAGCAGUCCUAUAUUUAUCUUACAGGAACAGAGUAACUGAACUUGUUUAUCACACUGACACCUGGUGCCACAGCAAAAACUUGCAGACCUUCAACUGCUUUUGAACACGGGACUUGUGACCCUGACAUCUGCAGCUUUCCAGCCUUGUUUGGCAGCCAGUUAGCAACGUCCUGCACACAGAGUCACACCAUUUUACCAGGGGCUUCGGGGUGGAAGAAAAACAAUCACCCACAAAAGAACAUGCUGGGCUUUCAGAAGACAUUCAGGUUCCUGAAUGCAGCACUGAGGAAUCAGAUGUUUCCAAAAGCAAGCAUGGGCAGUAACCCACCAAAGGAGAUUAUAACACCAGCCGAACAAGCCAUUGCAAUGAGUGUGAUGUUUAUGACAUUCUUGAUCCCAUCGAGUUGGAUUCUGUGUCAUCUGGAGAAUUACAAGCAUCGGCCCAGUGAAUGAAGGACAGAUCAGCUUUGAACGCAGAUGACAUAUGAGGGAUGAUAAGAAAAACCUGAAGUCUUCUUUCACAGAAAGCUGCCUCUAAAGGUUUUUGUAAUUAAAAAAUUGUUUAAAGCCAUA